rnacentral:rRNA from 1 species
AUGACAGACCAGACACGAACACAAAAUGGCCACGGCGACCUCGCAAAGAAACCGCCCGUCGUCGUCAUCUACUCGCCGCCGGGGAUGGCGGGCCACCUGGUCCCCAUGGCGGAGCUCGGCAAGCUACUCGUGGCGCAGGGCCUCCAGGUCACCGUCCUCCUCAGCGGGGGCUAUACGCCGUUCCUCGAUGGCGUCGCCGCCGCCAACCCGGCGCUGGCCUUCCACUGCCUGCCCCCGGCCGCGCUCGCCCCCGACAUGGCCGUUGCCUGCGGCAGCAGCUUCGAGGCCAGGCUCUUCGAGCUCGCACGCGCCACCAACCCGGACCUGCGCGACUUCCACCGCGCCGCGCGCCCGGCCGCCCUCCUCAUCGACUUCUUCUGCAGCGCCGCGCUCGACGUCGGCGCCAAGCUUCGUGUGCCCACCUACUUCUUCUUAACUGCCUGCGUCGGCAGCGUCGCCUUCGGGCUCUACCACCCGGUCAUCGAUGAGCGUACCUGCCUCAGCUUCCGGGACAUGGGCGGCGACCCCGUGCACGCCCCGGGACUGCCACCCAUACCGGGGCCAUCCAAGAUCGCGAGAGCUUGA